GAGAAAAAGACACAACAAGUCUCUUUAUAGACAGGCAGCGGAAAACAAACGUGAAACCGAAGACUGUACACAAAGAGGUCUUUAUACAGUCUAUGAUGGAGACCGACCGACCUGUGACGAAACUAGGAAGUAGUUCAAGUUAUGAUAAAGCGUGCACAGACAACAUCCGUCCAGGACAAGUACUCAGAAUUAUUACUUCACUCCAUUUUAGACAUGAAAUGUUAAUAUGAGGCCUUAAACAGAACGAGGACUGGGGCUCCUCCAUCACUUCCAUUGAAAGGACAGCCGGUAUGAACAGGAGGAAUGAUUGUUCAUCUGGACAUGUGAGUGUUGUUUUAGGACAGACUUGAAAAAGUGUCAACCUGUCCUUUAACUAAAGUAGCCCCCUUAAACAUUUUGGCACAGUAGACUAUGGCUGCUCGAACUGAUAUCUUCAUCAUAAAUUAAUCUGCAUUUUCUUGAUUACUCGAUUAUUAAAAACAGUGAAAAAUGUCUAUCUACAGUUUCUGAGUCCAACAUGUCUUCAAAUGUCUUGUUUUAUGCCAUCAGCAAUCCCAAACCCCAAAAUAUUCAGUUUACUGAUAUAAAACAGAGAAAAAGAGAACCGGAGCUGAAGGCAGCAAAUGUUUGGCGUUUCUGUUUGAAAAUGAAAUCAAAGCAUUAUUGGAUUAUCAAAAUAGUUUCGGAUUCAUUUUCUGUCGAUCGACUAACCACAUCAGCUCUACAGUAGAGAAGCAAAGUCUACAGAAAAUCACAGAAAUGAUUUGUAGGACUACAGCAGAGCCGCCUGCUCAGUGGCUGGUAGAUCAAUGUCCAACACUGUAGCUCAACCUGUCACAUGAUUAUUCAGUGCAGUGUGUGUGUGCUGCUUUAUAGUCCUGCUUCCACACACACACACACACACACACACACACACACACACACACACACUGAGGAGUACUGAGGAGCUGCAGAGCACAAACAGCAGCUUUUAAACCAGCUUCUCAGCACCUGAAGUGGAGACUUUCCAACCAUGUGAAUACAUCAGUUGCUAAAGUGCUCCAUUUAGAAACAACAAGAUAGAGAAAAUGAUAGUUAUCUUUUAUUCGCCAGGGUGCAAUCAGUCCAGGCGGGUUUUCAGUCCAUUUCAGUCCAGGUCUGACCAGGCGGGUUUCAGUCCAGGUCAGACCAGGCGGGUUUUCAGUCCAGGUCUGACCAGGCGGGUUUCAGUCCAGGUCUGACCAGGCGGGUUUCAGUCCAGGUCAGACCAGGCGGGUUUUCAGUCCAGGUCAGACCAGGCGGGUUUUCAGUCCAGGUCAGACCAGGCGGGUUUCAGUCCAGGUCAGACCAGGCGGGUUUUCAGUCCAGGUCAGAUUUUGUUGAACGGUAGCUGGGCCCCCCUCAGUGAUAUAGUAGCAAGCCAACUGGCAGUAGCAGGGCGUAGUGGACGGGCCGGGGUGUUUAGUUUGACCAUGUCCUGGAUGUAGGACGGGCCCGAGCCAUUUGCAGCAGGGUAGGCAAGUACCAGUGUCUUGAAUCGGAUUCAAGCAGCCACCGGUAGCCAGUGCGGACACAAAAUGACAAGGACCUGGCCCAGAACCUGCGCCACCUCCUGGGUGAGGAACAGACAUAGCCCCCUGAUGUUGUGGAGGAUGAAUCAGCAGCCAUGUUGGCAGCGAAGGACAGCUGGUCGUCCAGUGUCACUCCUCGCAGCUCGAGCCAUUUCUAACUGGCGUGAUGAUGGCUCUAGUGCGACUCUUUAUUUCACCGAUGAACCUGUGAUACCAAAAUGGGCUCAACAUAUUUUGAAGUAACCAGAUAAUGUUUUGCUUCUCUCUCUCUCUCAUUAAGUGUGUUUCCAUCCACCUGUUUAUGCGCAUGUGUAACAAGUCUUUCCUGUUGUCUGAGGUGUAAAAGUUGUUUGUGGAACAGACUGAAACAGACUGAGUGAAUAAAUGAUGACGUACAUGAA